GGAGAGGUGGCUCAGAGGUUAAGAGCACUGGACUGCUUUUCCAGAGGUCCUGAGUUCAAUUCCCAGCAACCACA
rnacentral:tRNA from 1 species